AGAAUCAACGCUGGCGGCGUGCCUAACACAUGCAAGUCGAACGCGAAAGCCCCGAAAGGGGUAAGUAGAGUGGCAAACGGGUGAGUAACACGUGGGUGACCUGCCUUCGAGCGGGGGAUAACGUCCCGAAAGGGACGCUAAUACCGCAUAACAUCCUGCCUUUGAAGAGGUGGAGAUCAAAGCUGGGGAUCGCAAGACCCGGCACUUGAAGAGGGGCCCGCGUCUGAUUAGCUAGUGGUGGGGUAAUGGCCUACCAAGGCAAACGAUCAGUA
rnacentral:rRNA from 1 species